rnacentral:rRNA from 1 species
ACUUGACCUCAAAUCAGGUAGGACCACCCGCUGAACUUAAGCAUAUCAAUAAGCGGAGGAAAAGAAACUAACAAGGAUUCCCUUAGUAACUGCGAGUGAAGAGGGAAAAGCUCAAAUUUGUAAUCUGGC